rnacentral:lncRNA from 1 species
AUAGUAUCACUCUUUUUUUUUUUUGGACAAAGUUAUUCAAUAUAACGACACUUACACAGGUGAGAGGUACCCAUAAAAUAGUCGAAGUGUGGUAAGCUUAUCCGAAUAAAUUAGCUAGUAUUCAAAGAAAAGUUUCACUCUUUUUUAAUUCGAGAGCAAAUUGUAGUUCCUGACUUAUAAGUUACUUAUAGCCCGUUGGCCAAGUUUUUUUCUUGGCCAAAAGUGUUUUUUAGAUAGAUGUUUUUUUGUUGCCAAAAUUAAGGUGUUUUGGCUAAGUUUUUUGAAAGAAAAAAAAUACUUUUGAGUAGAAUCAGAAGCGAUUUUUAAGAAGUAGAAAAAAAAGGCUUCUCUAUAGAAGUACUUUUUUGCAAUGCGCUUUGAGAAAAGUAUAUUUAGAAACUCCUUUAAUAGUUUGGUCAAACACUAAUUGCUGCUCGAAAAUACUUUUUAAAUUAAUUAACCAAAUACAAACUGCUCCUAACCAAAAAUACUUUUUUUAAAAACACUUUCUUAAGAUAAGCGGAUUUUUCCGUUUCUUCGAACAGACUAUUAGUCAUAACUCCCUCCCCAUAAAGAAGAUGAAAGUGAGAAGAGGACAUCGUCAUCAUAACGCUCACACGUACGAUUGCACCAACUUGCUGAUUCCAGCGUAAGUAGAGGGUGCAACCAAGGCCAAGUGUCACGGACCGGAUAACUCCCUAGCUAUCUUCUGUGCGGCCUUAGUCACAAUCCGCCCCUGCGAUGUGCUAAGUCAGCCUUUCCCCAAAAUAUUGCNNN